AAAAACAAAAAGCAACAACAAAAACUCAACCAUCUGACCAUCACCUGGUGGCUGCCUGACAUUCCUGGUUGUGGGGGUCUUGCCCUGCUCCUGUGUGACUAGCUCCCUACUGUAACAGAAGGCCUUCUCAACAAGGCUGCAUAGCAGGCACCAGGCUUACUGCCUGCCCUGCGUCUCCCAAGACGGGUGCUGCCUCCCAAACUGAGCUGCUGGAGAAGAGGGGCCCGGUAGAGACGGCUGACUUGGGCUGGCUCAGGCCAGCUGCAGAGGAGACAGGACAGAUCCCUGGGCAAAGUCAAGAUGGAGAAACAGUCAGAGGCGGCAGCGGUUGCGGACUGUGAGGCGGAGAGACUUCAGUUGAAAGCCCCUAAAAAGCA
rnacentral:lncRNA from 10 species